rnacentral:rRNA from 1 species
AAUAAACUUGAACAGGCUGUUUUGCUGGCCCUUCCUUGGUGGGGUAUGUGCACGCUUGUCAUCUUUAUCUCUCCAACUGUGCACAUAUUGUAGACCUUUGGGAGUUGGAUUUGUUUCCGAGUUGGGACUGCUGAGUGAAGUCAGCUUUUCCCUUGCAGGGGUCUAUGUCCUUUAUCACAAACCUUUCAGAGAAACUGUUUAGAAUGAUAUAUUAAAGUUAAAUAUACAACUUUCAGCAACGGAUCUCUUGGCUCUCGCAUCGAUGAAGAACGCAGCGAAAUGCGAUAAGUAAUGUGAAUUGCAGAAUUCAGUGAAUCAUCGAAUCUUUGAACGCAUCUUGCGCUCCUUGGUAUUCCGAGGAGCAUGCCUGUUUGAGUGUCAUUCAAAUUCUCAAACCAUGUUGAUUGUUCUUUCAACAUGGCUUUGGAUGGGUGGGGGUUUGCAGGCCCUUCUUUUUGAGGUCAGCUCCCCUGAAAUGCAUUAGUAGUAUCUGAGCAGAGAAACUACCACMGGUGUGAUAAAUUUAUCUAUGCCUUGGUGAGCUGCAUUGUAACAGAUCAUGCUGCUUAUAACGAGUGUGGUGGUUGAAACCACCCACAUUUGAUGAA